rnacentral:rRNA from 1 species
GAUGAACGCUAGCUACAGGCUUAACACAUGCAAGUCGCGGGACCGGCGCACGGGUGAGUAACGCGUAUCCAACCUGCACUUCGCCACGGGAUAACCCGGCGAAAGUCGGACUAAUACCGUAUGGUGAAGGAGGGGGAUGCGUCCGAUUAGCUUGACGGCGGGGUAACGGCCCGCCGUGGCCACGAUCGGGAGGGGUUCAGAGAGGAAGGGCCCCCACACUGGAACUGAGGCACGGUCCAGACUCCGACGGGAGGCAGCAGUGAGGAAUAUUGGUCAAUGGGCGUAAGCCUGAACCAGCCAAGUAGCGUGCAGGACGACGGCCUAUGGGUUGUAAACUGCUUUUAUGCGGGGAUAGGUACCGCAUGAAUAAGGACCGGCUAAUUCCGUGCCAGCAGCCGCGGUAAUUC